UGAGUACGAGACGCUAAGGCGUCGAAGUAGUGGAUGUCAUACUUCCAAGAAAAGCUUGCACUGUCAUAAGUAAAAAACGCCUGUACCAUAACCGACACAGGUGGGUAGGUAGAGUACACUAAGGGGCGCGAGAUAACUCUCUCUAAGGAACUCGGCAAAAUAACUCCGUAACUUCGGGAGAAGGAGUGCCUUAUUCGUAAGGCUGCAAUAACAAGAUCCAAGCAACUGUUUAUCAAAAACACAGGUCUCCGCUAAGUCGUAAGACGAUGUAUGGGGGCUGACGCCUGCCCAGUGCCAGAAGGUUAAAGAAGUCGGUUAGCAUUAGCGAAGCUGGUAACUGAAGCCCUGGUGAACGGCGGCCGUAACGAUAACGGUCCUAAGGUAGCGAAAUUCCUUGUCGGGUAAGUUCCGACCCGCACGAAAGGCGUAAUGAUUUGGAUACUGUCUCGGAGAGGGGCUCGGUGAAAUAGACUUGUCUGUGAAGAUGCGGACUACCUGCACCAGGACAGAAAGACCCUAUGAAGCUUUACUGUAACUUGAAAUUGAAAUUGGACUUUAUUCGCGCAGUAUAGGUGGGAGGUGUUGAUUAUAAUCUUGCGGGAUUAUUGGAGCCAUCAGUGAGAUACCACUCUUGUAAUGUUAGAUUUCUAACUUUGAAUCAUUAUCUGGUCAAAGAACAGUUUCAGGCGGGCAGUUUGACUGGGGCGGUCGCCUCCUAAAUGGUAACGGAGGCGUACAAAGGUUUCCUCUGAACGGGUAGAAAUCGUAUCUAGAGUGUAAAGGCAUAAGGAAGCUUGACUGUGAGACCUACAAGUCGAGCAGGGACGAAAGUCGGUCUUAGUGAUCUGACGGUACUGAGUGGAAAGGCCGUCACUCAACGGAUAAAAGUUACUCUAGGAUAACAGGCUGAUCUCCCCCAAGAGUUCACAUCGACGGGGAGGUAUGGCACCUCGAUGUCGGCUCAUCGCAUCCUGGGGCGGUAGUACGUCCCAAGGGUUGGGCUGUUCGCCCAUGAAAGCGGUACGCGAGCUGGGUUCAGAACGUCGUGAGACAGUUCGGUCCAUAUCCGGUGUAGGCGUUAGAAUAUUGAGAGGAGCCUUCUUUAGUACGAGAGGACCGAGAAGGACAUACCUCUGGUGUACCAGUUAUCGUGCCAACGGUAAACGCUGGGUAGCUAUGUAUGGAGUGGAUAACCGCUGAAAGCAUCUAAGUGGGAAGCCCACCUCAAGAUAAGUAUUCUC
rnacentral:rRNA from 1 species